rnacentral:misc_RNA from 1 species
AAGGAGGAGUUUCCAUUUAUCAGUUAAUUUGCCGACAUUUUAUUUAUAUUUAUAUAUUUUGUCUUAUACCUUAAAUUUAUAUUAAUAUACAGCAAAAAACAGAACUAAACAUUAAUUGAAAUUGAAAUGACCUUUGAUUUCAUGCACCCAAAGUAGUUCACGCGGAAUAGUUCGCUUGUCAGGCAUACCUUUAGAGUCAAGAGCAAGACCAACUAGCUGCAUCUUGAUAAGUCAAACAACUUCCUCAAUUUUGGAACUAUUUAAAACUCUUCGUUUUUUUCAAGAACAUAUCCUACAAAUUAAUAACGGUUACUGAUUCGAUCAUCGCCUAAGCAUAUGCAAAACAGUGCUUUCUUCCUGGACCGCUAUUUUUUGUUGACGUGAAUUUCUCGAUGGCAACAAACAUGCCAAAACCACGAAAAGUUUGAUUUUCUCCCUUUUUGUUCGGAAAAGUACAUUCACUUUCAGUAAUUACUAUCCGAAAAUAAAAUCACAUUCAGGAAGUGAGACGCGUUGCCUGGGUGGAAUUUGAUUUGACAACAUUUAUCUGUCAGAUGGUUUUUCUACGAUAUUUUCUAAUAUUGAAUAUGGUAAGCCCAUUUCAUUCUGACUCAGACGGUCCACUGAACUGAGUCGCGGACGUUUGAAAGCCAACGGCAUUUGCUGUCGGUUUACUGUGUUGUGUGGGCUCAGAAGUCGGAGUGUUAUUGUGAAAAUUCGAAAUAAUUGUUUUAUACUAAGUGAGCUGUUCGCUACGUGCAUAUAUUUUUAUUCUAGUUUAAGCGUUUUGAAUUCUUUAAAGUGAAAGAUGUCCUGGUUGGAGAGAAAGAAGGAGGAGGUGAUCCGCAAAAUGCAGGGAAUAACCGCGGAGUACAUGGAGAAAUUGUCGGAAAUAUGGUUCGAAACGCUCGACCGCAAGAACUGUGAUGAGCAUUUGUCGAAAAUGAUAGAACACGCUGUUACCUUUUACACUGACAUAAUGCAGGAGUCCCUCGACCGUCGAGAGCGCUUCCUUGCUGCAAUCGCCGAACGUCAGGAGGAGGCAACGGAGCUAAAUCGUUUGUUGAAAGUGGAAGUUGAGCUGAGCCCUAUAAAGGGACUGCCGCUGCAUACGGCUUUAGUAAAACUAGAGAACGGACUUAGCGAUUUGCGAAGGCAACUGAAGCAGCGGAAAGACGAGAUAAUUGAACUCUUGCAGGAACAAGAGGUGCUCUGUGAGGAACUUGGCGAAACGCCAAGGGAACUUCAUGACGACCCCCUGCCGACGGAAUACGAAUUGCAAACGUUCCGUGAGCACUUGAAAGCCUUGAGUGACGAGAAAAUUCGGCGGAAGUUACUGCUGGAUGAGUUACGAGCUGAGAUCCGAGGCUACAUGAAAGAUCUUGAAAUUAUGAUGGACACGACAUUGGAUUCAGUUUUGUUAAAUGACCCGCAAGUGUCGUUGAGUGAGUCGACGAUAAGCCAGCUGUGCAAGCUACGUGACGAAUAUAGACAACAAGUGCAUGAGCUCCGCGGCUCGAUAGAAAGGAUGAAGUCAAAGUUAGAUAUUCUCUGGAACUACUUAGAAGUGAGCCCAUCGGUCCGUCAUAAGUUCUCCAAGUACGUGGAGUAUACGCAAACUACGUACGACAGAUAUUAUCAAGAGCUAGAGCGCUGCGAGAAUCAGAAGAAGCAGAACGUGAAGAAAUUCGUUGAUCGAGUUCGUGCCGAGAUCUGUGAAUGGUGGGAGAAGACAAUGAAGUCGGACACAGAGCGGGCUCGGUUCGCUUAUUUCACGAAUGAAUGUUACACCGAGGAUUUGUUGACUUUGCACGAAAUGGAACUGGAAGAUUUGAAGAACUUCUAUAGUAGCAACCAGAAAAUAUUCGAAUUGAUUGAACAAAGGAAAGUUUUGUGGGAUCGAAUGGCAGCGCUGGAAGCGAAGGCAUCUGAACCGGGAAGGUAUAAUAAUCGCGGGGGUCAACUGCUGAAGGAAGAGCGGGAGCGUAAGACGAUUGCAAACAAGUUGCCAAAAAUCGAAGCGGAACUUACUGAAUUGGUAACUGAGUACGAGGACAAAUAUCAGAAAAAAUUUUUGGUUUUCGGCGAAGAUGUGAUUGAAUCUAUGGCUCGCGAUUGGGAGACGAAGAAGGCUGAGAAGGAGAAGUUGAUGAGUGCCCGGAAGAACGCGACUGUGUCAAACACGCCCAUGUCAGCGUCGAGAAAUAUGGCCAGAACGCCGUUGUCAGUAAAGAACUAUUCUACAAUCAAAGCAUUUUCGUCUAGUACAAAAGUUUCAGCUCAACCGUCUGGCGUUAAGCGGAAACUUCUGACUGUCGAAAGCUUGCUACCAAACGCUAAACGGAGCCUGAUGCACGAAUUGGGAAGUCCGAGGAAUGCAAUCGGGACGAACUAGCAGCAAUUCAGCAAAAACUAAAAGGAAAUCCACAAAUAAGACGCCAGUGAAAUUGCCAAGAAUGAAAAUAACAAGCGAGAAUUGCACCGGUUCGGACACAAUGUCAUACGAUAUGUUCGAGGAUUACAUUGCGAAAGACCCAUCUUGCAGAUCUUCGGUGGUGAUUAAUGACACGAAAAGGUCGAGAACGAACACCCGAACAAAAUUUCUGACAUCAACGUCGACGUGUCCGACGCCUACCCCUCCGCGCAGUUCUCGC